UACGUAGGGUGCGAGCGUUGUUCGGAUUUACUGGGCGUAAAGGGCGCGUAGGCGGUCAGCACAAGUCAAUUGUGAAAUCUCCGAGCUUAACUCGGAAAGGUCAACUGAAACUGUGCGACUAGAGUGCGGAAGGGGCAACUGGAAUUCUUGGUGUAGCGGUGAAAUGCGUAGAUAUCAAGAGGAACACCUGCGGCGAAGGCGGGUUGCUGGGCCGACACUGACGCUGAAGCGCGAAAGCCAGGGGAGCGAACGGG
rnacentral:rRNA from 1 species